rnacentral:tRNA from 1 species
GGUUCUAUAGUUAAAAUAUAGCGUUAGAUUGCAAAUCUAAAGAUGUGAAUUGAUCACUGGAACUU